UCGCGUCAUGCGCCGUAGGCAGGAGCGGGGGACCCAAGGUAGGCGCCGAAUCCGGUGAGGGAUGCCGGAUGCGGCUAGGGGUGAAGCCGCGUCCCGUGAGGGACGUGGCCGGGCAACUCAACCGGCCCGAACCCGACAGCUCACCUCGUAGGCGUCGGUGAGGGGAUCC
rfam:Streptomyces sp. H-KF8 tig00000139, whole genome shotgun sequence.